AUGUGUCCCUAUGUGUCCCUAUGUGUCCCUAUGGAUCCCUAUGGGGUCCCUAUGGCGUCUCUAUGUGUCCCUAUGUGUCCCUAUGGGUCUCUAUGGGGUUCUAUGGGGUCUCUAUGGGGUCCCUAUGGGUCUCUAUGGGGUCUCUAUGUGUCCCUAUGGAUCCCUAUGGGGUCUCUAUGGGGUAUCUAUAGUGUUCCUAUGGAUCCCUAUGUGUUUCUAUGGGGUUCUAUGGGGUCUCUAUGGGGUCUCUAUGUGUCCCUAUGUGUCCCUAUGGGGUCUUUAUGGGGUUCUAUGGGGUCUCUAUGGGGUCUCUAUGUGUCCCUAUGUGUCCCUAUGGGGUCUCUAUGGGUCCCUAUGUGUCCCUAUGGAUCCCUAUGGGGUCUUUAUGGGGUUCUGUGGGGUCUCUAUUGGGUCCCUAUGGGUCUCUAUGGGUCUCUGUGGUGCUCAAUGGGUCUCUAUGGGUCCCUAUGUGUCCCUAUAUGUCCCUAUGGGGUCCCUAUGUCUCUCUAUGGGGUCUCUAUGGGGUCUCUAUGUGUCCCUAUGUGUCCCUAUGGGGUUCCUAUGUGUCCCUAUGUCUCUCUAUGUGUCCCUAUGGGGUCUCUAUGGGGUCUCUAUGUGUCCCUAUGUGUCCCUAUGUCUCUCUAUGGGGUCUCUAUGUCUCUCUAUGUGUCCCUAUGGGGUCCCUAUGUGUCCCUAUGGGGUCUCUAUGUGUCCCUAUGGGUCCCUAUGUGUCUUUAUGGGGUUCUAUGGGGUCUCUAUGGGGUCCCUAUGGGGUCUCUAUGUGUCCCUAUGUAUCCCUAUGGGGUCUUUAUGGGGUUCUAUGGGGUCCCUAUGGGUCUCUGUGGUGCUCUAUGGGUCUCUAUGGGGUCUCUAUGGGGUCCCUAUGUGUCCCUAUGUGUCCCUAUGUGUCCCUAUGGGGUCCCUAUGGGUCCCUAUGUGUCCCUAUGGAUCCCUAUGGGGUCCCUAUGGGGUCUAUGUGUCCCUAUGGGGUCCCUGUGUCCCUAUGGGGUCCCUAUGGGGUCCCUAUGUGUCCCUAUGUGUCCCUAUGGGGUCUCUAUGUGUCCCUAUGUGUCCCUAUGGGGUCCCUAUGUGUCUCUAUGUGUCCCUAUGGGGUCUCUAUGUGUCCCUAUGUGUCCCUAUGGGGUCCCUAUGUGUCUCUAUGUGUCCCUAUGGGGUCUCUAUGGGGUCCCUAUGUGUCCCUAUGGGGUCUCUAUGGGUUCCCUAUGUGUCCCUAUGUGUCCCUAUGGGGUCCCUAUGUCUCUCUAUGGGGUCUCUAUGUGUCCCUAUGGGUCCCUAUCGGGUUCCUAUGUGUCCCUAUGUCUCUCUAUGUGUCCCUAUGGGGUCCCUAUGUGUCCCUAUGGAUCCCUAUGGGGUCUCUAUGGGGUAUCUAUAGUGUCCCUAUGGAUCCCUAUGUGUCCCUAUGGGGUCUCUAUGAGGUCUGUGGGGUCCCUAUGGGGUCGAUGUGUCCCUAUGUCUCUCUAUGGGGUCUCUACGUGUCCCUAUGGAUCCCUAUGGGAUCUCUGUGGGGUUCUAUGGGGUCUCUAUGGGGUAUCUAUAGUGUCCCCAUGGAUCCCUAUGUGUCCCUAUCGGGUCUCUAUGGAUCCCUAUGUGUCCCUAUGGGGUCCCUAUGGGGUCCCUAUGGGGUCUCUAUGGGGUCUCUAUGGGGUCUAUGGGGUCCCUAUGUGUCUCUAUGGGUCCCUAUGUGUCCCUAUGGGGUCUCUACGUGUCUCUAUGUGUCCCUAUGGGUCUCUAUGGGUCUCUAUGGUUCUCUAUGGGUCUCUAUGUUUCUCUAUGUGUCCCUAUGGGGUCUCUAUUGGUCUCUAUGGGGUCCCUAUGUGUCCCUAUGGGGUCUCUAUGGGGUCUAUGGGGUCCCUAUGGGGUCGAUGUGUCCCUAUGUCUCUCUAUGGGGUCCCUAUGUGUCCCUAUGUGUCCCUAUGGGGUCCCUAUGUGCCCCUAUGGGGUCCCUAUGUGUCCCUAUGGGGUCUCUAUGUGUCCCUAUGUGUCCCUAUGGGGUCCCUAUGUCUCUCUAUGUGUCUCUAUGGGGUCCCUAUGUGUCCCUAUGGAUCCCUAUGGGGUAUCUAUAGUGUCCCUAUGGAUCCCUAUGUGUCUCUAUGGGGUUCUGUGGGGUCUCUAUGGGGUCCCUAUGGGUCUCUAUGGGUCUCUGUGGUGCUCUAUGGGUCUCUAUGGGGUUUCUAUGUGUCCCUAUGUGUCCCUAUGGAUCCCUAUGGGGUCCCUAUGGGGUCUCUAUGUGUCCCUAUGGCGUCUCUAUGUGUCCCUAUGUGUCUAUAUGUGUCCCUAUGGGUCUCUAUGGGGUCUCUAUGGGGUCCCUAUGGGUCUCUAUGGGGCCUCUAUAUGUCCCUAUGUGUCCCUAUGUGUCCCUAUGAGUCCCUAUGGAUCCCUAUGGGGUCCCUAUGGGUCCCUAUGUGUCCCUAUGGGGUCUCUAUGUGUCCCUAUGUGUCUCUAUGGAUCCCUAUGGGGUCUCUAUGGGGUCCCUAUGGGACUCUAUGGGUCUCUGUGGUGCUCUAUGUGUCCCUAUGGGGUCCCUAUGUGUCCCUAUGUCUCUCUAUGGGGUCUCUAUGGGUCUCUGUGGUGCUCUAUGGGGUCUCUAUGUGUCCCUGUGUGUCCCUAUGGGGUCUCUAUUGGUCCCUAUGGGGUCCCUAUGGGUCUCUAUGGGGUCCCUAUGUGUCCCUAUGGGGUCUCUAUGGAUCCCUAUGGGUCCCUAUGGGGUCGAUGUGUCCCUAUGUCUCUCUAUGGGGUCUCUACGUGUCCCUAUGGAUCCCUAUGGGAUCUCUAUGGGGUCUCUAUGGGGUCCCUAUGUGUCCCUAUGUGUCCCUAUGUGUCCGUAUGGGGUCUCUAUGUGUCCCUAUGUGUCCCUAUGUGUCUCUAUGUGGUCCCUAUGGGGUCUCUAUGUGUCUUUAUGGGGUCCCUAUGUGUCCCUAUGGGGUCUCUGUGUGUCCCUAUGUCUCUCUAUGGGGUCUCUAUGGGGUUCUAUGGGGUCUCUAUGGGUCUCUAUGGGGUUCUAUGGGGUCCCUAUGUGUCCCUAUGUGUCCCUAUGGGGUCUCUAUGGGGUCCCUAUGGGUUUCUAUGGGUCUCUGUGGUGCUCUAUGGGGUCUAUGGGGCUCUAUGUGUCCCUAUGUGUCCCUAUGGGGUCUCUAUGGAUCCCUAUGGGGUCUCUAUGUGUCCCUAUGGGUCCCUAUGUGUCCCUAUGGGGUCCCUAUGGGGUCCCUAUGUGUCUCUAUGGGGCUCUGUGGGGUCUCUAGGGGUCUCUAUGUGUCCCUAUGGGUCUCUAUGGGGUCCCUAUGGGGUCCCUAUGGGUCUCUAUGUGUCCCUAUGGGGUCCCUAUGGGGUCCCUAUGUGUCUCUAUGUGUCCCUAUGGGGUCUCUAUGGGGUCUCUAUGUGUCCUUCUGUGUCCCUAUGUGUCCCUAUGGAUCCCUAUGGGGUCUUUAUGGGGUUCUAUGGGGUCUCUAUGGGGUCCCUAUGGGUCUCUAUGGGGUUCUAUGGGGUCCCUAUGUGUCCCUAUGUGUCCCUAUGGGGUCUAUGUGUCCCUAUGGGUCCCUAUGUGUCCCUAUGGGGUCCCUAUGUCUCUCUAUGGGGUCUCUAUGUGUCCCUAUGGGGGUCUCUAUGUGUCCCCAUGUCUCUCUAUGGGGUCUCUAUGGGGUUCUAUGGGGUCCCUAUGUGUCCCUAUGUGUCUCUAUGGGUCUCUAUGGGGUUCUAUGGGGUCCCUAUGUGUCCCUAUGUGUCCCUAUGGGGUCUAUGUGUCCCUAUGGGGUCCCUAUGUGUCCCUAUGGAUCCCUAUGGGGUCUGUAUGGGGUCCCUAUGUGUCCCUAUGUCUCUCUAUGGGGUCUCUAUGGGGUUCUAUGGGGUCUCUAUGGGUCUCUAUGGGGUUCUAUGGGGUCCCUAUCACACAGAAUCACAGAAUGA
ensembl:lncRNA